GAUUUUAUCUCAUCCCCUUUCCCUCUCCCAACUGCCCUCAGUUUAAUAGUUGUCAGUUUUACCUCAGUGUUGAAUUUAAUUAUAUAGGAACAAAAUAUUCCUCAGUAAAUUUGCUUGCUAAAUAUUCUGUCACAUUUACUUCCCCUUUGAGAAAUGGCUUAAUUAUAGAAAUCUACCUGCAUCUAGGAAUUUUUUUUCCCUUUUCUUUUUUGACCGCCAUUCCAGCUUAAUCGUAAGCAGAGAUUUUAUUUGUGCAGUAAUUUUAUUUGUGUUCUAAAUUCGUUUAGCCAAUUUCUUCCUUCUUUCUUUAGUAACACCCUGCUUUAUUUUCCUCUCACUUUGACCCCCUGAAGAAAACGAAGGACCAAGCAGUACUGGAGAAUCUGUUAAAUUUAUUAGCAUAAAUGCUUAGACAAAACGAGAUAUAAAUCAUUCAGAUGUAUUAAGCCAUAAAGUAUCCCAAUGAAGUCAGUCCCUUGCCAGGGUCCUGGUGUAUAAAUGUUCAUAUAAAACAAGGUAUCAGUAUUAUCUUUCAAACUGAAUAUAUGUUGUAAAAAUAUCCAAGGUUGAGUUAGGAAUAUGGGGGGAGGGUGCAGCAGGGCAGGAAGGGGAUAUUCUUUAGACCAGUUUGUUAACAUAGUGGUGGCUCAGAAAGUAUGGUGGAAAGGAAAAAUUUCAACCGUUUACAUUUGGAGUCUUCUUAGAUAAUAUGUUUUUAAAUAACGGUAUGCAGGAUAUAUUUGAGAGCAAAGGAAUAAGAGAAAAAAAAGAUGACUAGAGGGAGAAAGGCAUUGAUUUCUGUAGAAUGCAUUUGUCCCCCAAAGAUCAGUUUAGCUUCACAAAAAUCCACCCAGAGGAGGCACUGGCUCUUCACACAGAUAACGGAUUAUCCAGUAGAGAAGAGCUACCUGGGCCUUCGUCUGGCAACUGGGAUAUGCAGCCGCUGGUCAGCAGAGGGAUGUGUAUUCAUUAGCGGUGGAAGACGAGGAAAGCGCCCGGGAGUGAGGAAGAGGAAUGGACAGAAUUCCUGGCAGAAGCUUACCAAGACAAAAAUCAGACACAAUGUUUAAGCAGCAAUUGCUCGUGAAGUUCAUAACCAUGGCUCUCUGUAAAUCUUGGCAAAUUGGGACAUUCUUUGCUUUUUGGAAAUGAUUGUUUUCAAGACUUUUUUUAAAAAAUCAAGUUGUCCACCAGAAAAAUGGAAUAGCUCACCUUCCCCAUCUUUUUUUUAAAGCAGGGAUAUCCUCAUCCUUUCCGUGCCAUUCAUUCUUUCAUUCAUUCACUCACCGUGCAACAAAGAUUGUUGGGCAUUGUAGCAGCAAGUAGGAGCACAGGAUUGUCCUUCUCUUGACUCAUGGAAUGCUUUGUGAGAAAGAACUACAAAGCCGGGUCCCUCGAUAUUAGCCAUCUCACCCUUCAAAGUUCAGCCAGGAGUGGGACAAAACCCUCGUCACCAUGUUGACAUGUUUACUUCUGGCGCAGGAAAAUACUGCUGUUGCCCAAUUUGGUUUCCCAGUCCAUUCACUUGCCUGGA
rnacentral:lncRNA from 10 species